rnacentral:tRNA from 1 species
GGUGUAGCUCAGUGGUAGAGAACUUGCCUAUCAGGCAUGAGGCCCUGGGUUUGAUUCCUAAACACUG